UAUUAUAGCAUAACUUUAAUUAACCAUUAAAAAAAUAUAAAUAAGUAUGUAUUUCUUACUUAUUUAUUUAUUACUUGUCGUGUAUGGAUUUCCCAUUUGCUGCAAUAUUAAUUUUUUAAUUUUAGUAUCUACCUCAUGUACUACACCUGGUUGGUUGGUUAAAUAUGAUCAUUUAAAUGAGAAAAUGUAUACUCGUGCAACUGAAUACAUGUAAACUUGAGAAAAUGAAUACUUGUGCAAAUGUAUACUCGUGCAAUCUGGUAAAAAAAUUCUGUAUUGUGCUUUCUCUUUUUAGUAAUUGCAUGCAAA